CUUCCAGGUGUCUUUUGGGCUGGCAAUAGAGAAUGGGAUCUUGGUGCCACACAGCGAGCCUUCCUUGACAAAGGAAACAAAAGCAGCGUUUUCAUGUCACACAGAGUCAUUUCAUUACUGUGCUGCUGUUUACUUUUUCCGCGAUCACCAUGUUCUCCACCCCCAGGCAUGCACAAUACCUUUGGGUCUCCCUGCUUGCAUAAAUGAGAAAGAAGAAAGGUGACUCAGUCCUGUGCCUUUCAACAUACAAGAAAAAGCAGCCUUUUCUCACUGAUGUGGGAAAUCUGGGGCAGAUUCUCUGAAGAGUCCCGGCUUGGCUCUCUAGCAAACGGGAAACAGCCCUGAGGAGAGGCGACUGCCUGGACGGGGGAAACAAGCCAAACUAAACAAGGGAACGGCAGACUGCUUAUUUUUCAGGGAGAACUGGAAAAACGGGGACCUGAAGACUAGACUAAUGAUGGCUACAUUUUUUAAAACAAGAACAGUCUCUUUGGUCUGUGAUCUUGGCAUAUGCAUCAAAGCUGCUGUUGGCAUUUUCCAGAACAACAGGAUUUUACUCAUGUACUAAAUGAGGGCUGUGGAGCAGCAGAUACGCUUGCCCAGAUGAGGCGAUGGCUGUCAGCUGAGCCAGCUGAGAUGGGAGCACUGCUUAAGUGAGGGCUGCUCCUCAUCCUGCGGCAGCUGGCCAGCACCUUUUGCGUGAAGGACUUGGUCCUGAACCAAGGGCUUGCGAAAGACGUGCGGAAGUGGUGAGCUGAAAGGAGGAGGUGAGCACCAGGACUUAGCUACUUUUGAACGACUGCAUCUUCUGCAUGCUUUGAGCCUUGUCCUGAGGUCUGAAAGUAUUUCUUGCCUCCCCUUGGUCUGUCUCUGAAGGUUUAAAUGAAUAAGCACAGAGAGCUUCAGUAUAGGCACUCAGAGUGUAUAAAAGCAACCUGCAUGGUAUGGAGGCGGUGCCAG